UCAGAGGGCCGGGCGGCCGCUGGUUCCGGGCAGGUCCCGGGGCUGGAGGAAAGUCCGGGCUCCACGGGAAUACGGUGCCGGUCAACGGCCGGCGGGGGCGACCCCAGGGACAGUGCCACAGAAAUCAAACCGCCGGGCCGGCUUGCCGCCCCGGUAAGGGCGAAACGGUGCGGUAAGAGCGCACCGCGCCCCUGGCAACAGGGGUGGCACGGUAAACCCCACCGGGAGCAAGGCCGAAUAGGGGUGGCCGGCGGCGAUCCGAUCUGGAUCGUGACGCGGGGGCGUUCCCGCCCCGCCACCCGGGUUGGCCGCGAGAGGCAUGCCGUGAGGCAUGUCCCAGAGGAAUGGUCGCCCCGAUUCUUCCUUCACCGGGCGGAUCGGACAGAACCCGGCUUACAGGCCCUCUGACGCC
rnacentral:RNase_P_RNA from 1 species